GAUGAACGCUGGCGGCGUGCCUAAUACAUGCAAGUCGAGCGAAUGGAUUAAGAGCUUGCUCUUAUGAAGUUAGCGGCGGACGGGUGAGUAACACGUGGGUAACCUGACCAUAAGACUGGGAUAACUCCGGGAAACCGGGGCUAAUACCGGAUAACAUUUUGAACCGCAUGGUUCGAAAUUGAAAGGCGGCUUCGGCUGUCACUUAUGGAUGGACCCGCGUCGCAUUAGCUAGUUGGUGAGGUAACGGCUCACCAAGGCAGCGAUGGGUAGCCGACCUGAUAGGGUGAUCGGCCACACUGGGACUGAGACACGGCCCAGACUCCUACGGGAGGCAGCAGUAGGGAAUCUUCCGCAAUGGACGAAAGUCUGACGGAGCAACGCCGCGUGAGUGAUGAAGGCUUUCGGGUCGUAAAACUCUGUUGUUAGGGAAGAACAAGUGCUAGUUGAAUAAGCUGGCACCUUGACGGUACCUAACCAGAAAGCCACGGCUAACUACGUGCCAGCCGCCGCAGUAA
rnacentral:rRNA from 1 species